rnacentral:rRNA from 1 species
AUUGAACGCUGGCGGCAGGCUUAACACAUGCAAGUCGAGCGAGCGGCGGACGGGUGAGUAGUGGCUGGGAAACUGCCUGAGGGAGGGGGAUAACUACUGGAAACGGUAGCUAAUACCGCAUACCAUCGGAUGUGCCCAGCUGGGAUUAGCUAGUGGGUGGGGUAAUGGCUCACCUAGGCGACGAUCCCUAGCUGGUCUGAGAGUAUGACCAGCCACACUGGAACUGAGACACGGUCCAGACUCCUACGGGAGGCAGCAGUGGGGAAUAUUGCACAAUGGGCGCAAGCCUGAUGCAGCCAUGCCGCGUGUGUGAAGAAGGUCUUCGGGUUGUAAAGCACUUUCAGCGAGGAGGCGUUACUCGAAGAAGAAGCACCGGCUAACUCCGUGCCAGCCGCCGCGGUAAUUC